rnacentral:lncRNA from 1 species
AGGAAAACUCAGCCCACUUCCUACAUUAAAUGAAUUACAAGGGCACAGUUACACAGCCAGAGAACUUCCCCACAGAUUCCUGAAGACGACAUCAUAGAUGUUGGCUUGUGCGGGAUGCUCAUGGGCUGAAGAGGAAGGAUGUCUUCAUUGGAAUGCAGGCCAGACAAUGCUACCUGGGCAGAGAGGUUGUCUGAGUCAAGUCCACGAGGAAGCCUACAGAGUCAUCAGAACCCUGAAGCAAUGGCCAACUCAGUUGUUCUUAUCAGUCUUUCUCCUCUUGAAAUAUUCAAACUGUGGAAAGUUACCCAGGAAUUAUAGUCAUAACUCAUAACUCAAUCAGAUAAAAUCCAGCAUUCUCAUUGAUGACAAAGGUCAUAUUUCAGAAAGAACAUUGCGUACUCUAGGAUACCUCAGAAAU